rnacentral:rRNA from 1 species
CCUACGGGAGGCAGCAGUGGGGAAUAUUGCGCAAUGGGGGCAACUCUGAUGCAGCAACGCCGCGUGAACGAUGAAGGACUUCGGAAUGUAAAGCUCUUUUAUCAGGGAAGAAGAUAGCGGUGGCACCCUAGGAAGACGCCUCGACCAACUACGUGCCAGCCGCCGCGGUAAUACGGAGGCGGCAGGCGUUCUCCGGUAUGAGUGGGCGUAAAGGGUGCGUAGGUGGUUUAAAAAGUCAGUGGCGAAACACCGGGGCUCAACCUCGGAACUACUACUACAACUGUUCGGCUUGAGUGCAGGAGAGGCAAGCGGAAUUCCUAGUGUAGCGGUGGAAUGCGUAGAUAUUAGGAGGAACACCAGUGGCGAAGGCGGAUUGCUAGACUGUAACUGACGCUGAGGCACGAAAGCGUGGGGAGCAAACAGGAUUAGAUACCCGAGUAGUC